GACGUCUUGUUCUGUCACCCAGGCUGGAAUGCAGUGGCGCGAUCUCGGCUCACUGCAUCUCUGCCUCCCGGGUUCAAACAAUUCUUCUGCCUCAGCCUCCCGAGUAGCUGGAACUACAGGCGUGCACCACCAUGCCUGGCUAAUUUUUAUAUUUUUAGUAGAGACGGGGUUUCACCAUAUUGUCCAGGCUGGUCUCGAACUCCUGACCACGUGAUCCACCCACCUUGGCCUCCCAAAGUUCUGGGAUUAUAGACAUGAGCCACCGCGCCCUGCCGGGGAAUUGAUUUUUAUCUGCCAUUGCCCUCUCUCAGUAGGACAGUUCCUUUCUCUUCACCUCUUCUGUCAGCUAAAGACCAUGAGAGGGAGAAAGCUAGAAGCUGAAGAUUCUGAAAAUCACUAACUGGCCUCUUCUUUCUCCUAGGUGUGGCACAUUGGUUGACCUUUGCCAGGGCCCCCACCUUCGGCAUACUGGACAGAUUGGAGGACUGAAGCUGCUAUCGGCUGAGUAUGCCCAUCGUGGUUUCUCCGAGGUGAAAACUCCCACACUGUUUUCUACGAAGCUCUGGGA
rnacentral:sRNA from 1 species